rnacentral:rRNA from 1 species
AGCAGGGAUGUGAACCGGACCACCACUUGGAACUGAGAACACCGCCCAGACUCCUUACCGGAGGCAGCAGUGGGGAAUAUUGCACAUGGGCGAAAGCCUGAUGCAGCAACGCCGCGUGAGGGGAUGACGGGCCUUUCGGGUUGUAAACCUCUUUUAGCAGGGAAGAAGCGAAAGUGACCGGUACCCUGCAGAAAAAGCACCCGGCUAACUACGUGCCAGCAGCCGCGGUAAUACGUAGGGUGCAAGCGUUAUCCGGGAAUUAUUGGGCGUAAAGAGCUCGUAGGCGGUCUGUCGCGUCUGCUGUGAAAUCCCGAGGCUCAACCUCGGGCCUGCAGUGGGUACGGGCAGACUAGAGUGCGGUAGGGGAGAUUGGAAUUCCUGGUGUAGCGGUGGAAUGCGCAGAUAUCAGGAGGAACACCGAUGGCGAAGGCAGAUCUCUGGGCCGUAACUGACGCUGAGGAGCGAAAGGGUGGGGAGCAAACAGGCUUAGAUACCCUGGUAGUCCACCCCGUAAACGUUGGGAACUAGUUGUGGGGUCCAUUCCACGGAUUCCGUGACGAAGCUAACGCAUUAAGUUCCCCGCCUGGGGAGUACGGCCGCAAGGCUAAAACUCAAAGGAAUUGACGGGGACCCGCACAAGCGGCGGAGCAUGCGGAUUAAUUCGAUGCAACGCGAAGAACCUUACCAAGGCUUGACAUAUACCGGAAACGGCCAGAGAUGGUCGCCCCGCAAGGUCGGUAUACAGGUGGUGCAUGGUUGUCGUCAGCUCGUGUCGUGAGAUGUUGGGUUAAGUCCCGCAACGAGCGCAACCCUCGUUCUAUGUUGCCAGCACGUAAUGGUGGGAACUCAUGGGAUACUGCCGGGGUCAACUCGGAGGAAGGUGGGGAUGACGUCAAAUCAUCAUGCCCCUUAUGUCUUGGGCUUCACGCAUGCUACAAUGGCCGGUACAAAGGGCUGCGAUACCGUAAGGUGGAGCGAAUCCCAAAAAGCCGGUCCCAGUUCGGAUUGAGGUCUGCAACUCGACCUCAUGAAGUCGGAGUCGCUAGUAAUCGCAGAUCAGCAACGCUGCGGUGAAUACGUUCCCGGGUCUUGUACACACCGCCCGUCAAGUCAUGAAAGUCGGUAACACCUGAAGCCUGGAGCAGUCCCAUCUCGGGCACCAGGACCUUGGCGACAAGGGGGCCCCCCA